rnacentral:tRNA from 1 species
AUUUAUAUAGCUUAAACUAAAGCAUUUGUUUUACACAUAAAAUAUAGUAUCAUACUUAUAAAUA